UGGCAAAACUACAGAAAUGUAGUGACGCAAAGCUUAGGGCCUAAAACUAUAUGUCAUGGCAGCCAGUUGCAG
rnacentral:ncRNA from 1 species